rnacentral:rRNA from 1 species
GUGCCAGCCGCCGCGGUAAUACGGAAGGUCCGGGCGUUAUCCGGAUUUAUUGGGUUUAAAGGGAGCGCAGGCUGAUUGUUAAGCGUGACGUGAAAUGUAGCCGCUCAACGGCUGCACUGCGUCGCGAACUGGCAGUCUUGAGUGAGUACGACGUCAGCGGAAUUCGUGGUGUAGCGGUGAAAUGCUUAGAUAUCACGAAGAACCCCGAUUGCGAAGGCAGCUGACGAGUCCUUUACUGACGCUAAAGCUCGAAGGUGCGGGUAUCGAACAGGAUUAGAUACCCUGGUAGUCCGCACGGUAAACGAUGGAUGCCCGCUGUUGGCGAUAUAGUGUCAGCGGCCAAGCGAAAGCGUUAAGCAUCCCACCUGGGGAGUACGCCGGCAACGGUGAAACUCAAAGGAAUUGACGGGGGCCCGCACAAGCGGAGGAACAUGUGGUUUAAUUCGAUGAUACGCGAGGAACCUUACCCGGGCUUGAACUGCAGCAGGAGGAUACAGAGAUGUUGACGCCCUUCGGGGCUGCUGUGGAGGUGCUGCAUGGUUGUCGUCAGCUCGUGCCGUGAGGUGUCGGCUUAAGUGCCAUAACGAGCGCAACCCCUGUCCGUAGUUGCCAUCAGGUAGUGCUGGGCACUCUGCGGAUACUGCCACCGUAAGGUGUGAGGAAGGUGGGGAUGACGUCAAAUCAGCACGGCCCUUACGUCCGGGGCUACACACGUGUUACAAUGGGGAGUACAAAGAGUCGGUCGUCAGCAAUUGCGAUCCAAUCCUUAAAGCUCUCCUCAGUUCGGAUUGGGUCUGCAACCCGACCCCAUGAAGCUGGAUUCGCUAGUAAUCGCGCAUCAGCCAUGGCGCGGUGAAUACGUUCCCGGGCCUUGUACACACCGCCCGU